AUGGGAAGCUCAGUGAAGGCAGAGAUGGCACAUAAUAGCAUUCAGCUGGUGUUCUGGAUGGAUAGAUGCGUGGGUCUGCAGAUGGAUGGAAAGAGUAAAACAGGCAUGAAUGUCACUGAGGGAUUGUCGCUGAUGUCACCUCAAGCUUCAGCCUCACUGCUGUGUUGUGAUCAUAAUAGUCUAACAGAGCCGCCAGCCCAGUGGAAAUCCAUGUGCUGCUUGUUUCUUCAAUUUCUUGUGGCUAAACCAAUGACGAUGACGGUUUCAGGAAAAGAAGAAGAUAGAAAGUCCUUCCAAGCCAUGACUGAGGUCCUUUGAGAAAGAAGUUUGAGACAAGCAGGAAGUUAUUAUCUGACAGUCUUUAGAAAUUGAGCUCCUCCUUUGAGGUCAGGGUGAUUGUCCAGUUGAUACAGAUCUACUGAGAGCUCUCUGCAUUGUUCAACCGUUAAUUUUGCUCUGGAAUCUACCAUCAUCCUUUCACCUGUUGGGCCUUUCCUGUUAAUCAUUGGGAACAGGAGGAAUAAUUAUGGACUUCUAAAAAAGGGUUAAGUGUCCAAAUCUGACAUUCACAUUAUCAAUGUAGUACAUGCAAUAGAAGAAAACUUGGAAAAGUUGACUAAGGCUACCAAAGGGGCAUAAUACGAGACUAUGCAGAGUUCUAGAAGGAGACUUUGUUCCAGAAAAGCCAAACCAGAGAGAGGUUUUGAGAUCUAUAAAAUGCAAAAGGUCACGGAAUGUAAACACGUAUUCUUCACCGUACAUGACAGAGAUAUAUGUCGAAACGUAGAGGGACCAGUUCUUGGAAAAUAACAGGAGAAGUCAUCACACAAUAUAAACAAAACCCAUCAGGUAAUGAGUCUGCCAGUGAUGAGGUUCUUGAAGGAUUUGAAUUAACUUGUAGGAGAUAGAUCUGAGAGACAAGUGAAACCAUGGAAGACGGAGUUGCCAGACAGACACACAGGCACAUCCUUCACCUAAGCCUCCUUUCUUUCUGCCCAUGUUACAAUCACAUAUCAAACUGUGUAAUUUUCCUCUUCUUAAUUUUGUUCAUUCGUUCAUAGCCCCUUGAGCAUGGGCUGCUCUGUCCGAGUGAAUCAGUGGUGAUGAUCUCAUAGGAAUGUUGUGAGGUUAACAAAUACAAAUUGUAAUGUGCACUGCAGAUAUAAAGUGCCAUAAAAAUGCUAAUGAAUGAUAAUGUGCGUCCACUGGUUAGCGGGCCAGUGCAACAGGCCAAGGAUAACAGAAAAAGAGACUGCCUUUUGAACACACAAAGUGCAAUCCUAUUCAUCUGGCCUCACGCCUGCCACCAUGGGAGGCUCUGGCUCGGGUCUCAUUAUUCACCCAAACAACUUCCUUUCCUUCUCUGUCUGGGUCUGCAAGCUGCUUUCUGAGCAAAGAAAGAUUCCCUGAAACCUUUUGGCGCCAUCAACAACAGCAGCAGCAAGAAAAGUUUGGCUUGAAAAAUUCAUUCAUGGGAAUGAAAAAAUACAAUGGAAAUCUAUCAUUAUGGAUGUUUGGGAAAGAGGGAGAAAAAAGACCUGGGCUUUGUUUUGCAUUUUGGUAAGAAAUGAUAUAUAGCUACAUAGUAAAAACAGUUUUAUUAAAAACAUCUUCUCGCCCUGUAUUCAAAAUUCGAAUCGUGCCCUCUUAUCCUGCAGUCACUUUAGAAUGAAAGUUGGAAAUGCUGAUACUGUGGAACUAGCCCUUGGUAUUCUAUCUCAUAGCUGAUAUAUUUGUCUAAUACUUUGGUUUUUGAAGGCCCAUUACUCAGGACCAGUGUGCAGGGCACUUCAUUUUAAUCCUUUCUGCUUACUGAAAACAGGAAUGCUAGGAAGAACUUGUAGAUAAGAUUACAUUCCCUCUUCUGUGUGUCCCUAGGUGGUGGGCUAUAAGCCAGAUAGCAAAGCAAAUGGAGUUGUCAUCACCCUAAGAAAAGGGUUCUGACCUCAGAUUUGUGGGACUUUUGUUUAGGGAAAUCCUGCUAAGGGUUCUAUGUUGGUUAGAACAUUCCUUCUUGUAGAGUGGAAAUUUUUAAGAGCCCAACAAGUGUGCAGAUAUUCAUAAUGGGGAGUUCAGGGGCUUUGAGAACCUUAGUUUAGCAAUAGAACAGGUGUAGAAUUUCAUUAUGUCUAUUCUGCCCGAAUAAAAGGAACCUCUUUUUCCA
rnacentral:lncRNA from 1 species